UACAGAGGUCUCAAGCGUUGUUCGGAUUCAUUGGGCGUAAAGGGUGCGUAGGUGGCGUCGUAAGUCGGGUGUGAAAUUUCGGAGCUUAACUCCGAAACUGCAUUCGAUACUGCGGUGCUUGAGGACUGGAGAGGAGACUGGAAUUCAUGGUGUAGCAGUGAAAUGCGUAGAGAUCAUGAGGAAGACCAGUGGCGAAGGCGGGUCUCUGGACAGUACCUGACACUGAGACACGAAGGCCAGGGGAGCAAACGGG
rnacentral:rRNA from 1 species